CCGUGGUGACCGAACCGCUUCACUCCCCGAGUUGUUGGUCGUGUGGUGCUGUGAUUACCAGUCGAACGGUUCAAAGUUGAUGUGGAUUAAUAACCCUUUUCACUGACGGGAUGUAUGUAUGUGUGGAUGGCUCAUACACAUUUGUAAUCCUACUGUGCUAAGGCUACGAUUAUCGAUUCACGUUGAAAGCCCCCAAAGACAAGCCCGUGAAGAAAUUGAUCCUAACGCGGAGUUAUACUUAGACGAAAAACGGGUGAUUAGCCAUUAACUAGCGCGGGCCGCAUUAGACGGACUUUAUGGAUUUUUGGCCGGCUUGCUAGUAACUGGGAAAUACAUACAGGAAUUAUUUGACUACAUCGGUAGCUCGGUCAGGGGAGACGAUUCAACACAAGGGAGGUAACGAGGAUUAUACAAAUUAAAUACAGGGAUAUUUUAGAGAGCGUAUCACAAUAGAACUGACGUUUGUAUUGAUGGGAUUUUCCUUUUAUUAAG